CAUGUCCGCCUCUGAGAAGCGAGACCUGGCUCAACAUAGCCAGAGUGGAGCUUGUGACGGGGCAGCCCUGGACCCUGGAUUCAUUGGGAGUGCCUUGGUGCCUGAAGAAUGGGUGGCUGAAGUUGAGGCAGAGGUGGCCGCUGAGGAUUUCCAGGAGGCAGUAGAUGCCGUUUUGGAGGAGGAGGAAGAUGAGGCCUGGGACCCCAUUGAUAACUGGUUUUUUCAGCUUGUAGAAGAGGAGGAGGAGCUGGGAGAGGAGGAGGAGCUAGGAGAGGAGGAGGAUGAGGUGGAAGAAGAAUUUGAGGAGGAAACGGAGGAGGAGGAAUUUGAGGAGGAGGAGGGUGAAAAAGAGAAGGAAGAAGAAGGAGAGGAGGAGGACUAUGAAGAAGAGGAACAGGAUGAAGACAAAGAGGAGGACGAGGAGGAGGCUGAGGAUGAGGACAAGGAGGAGAAGGAAAAGGACAGCAAAGAGGAUACAGAAAUUGCUUGUGGCGCCUGUUCUGCUGAGCAUAGAGUGUGGGAUACGGCUACUGAGUAUAAACUGGAGUACUUUUUUGGAGAAAGUCUCCCAAUGUCUGUAUUAUUCUUCUCUAAAGAAGCAACUGAAUAUAAGUAUGAAAAUUCUGAUGAAGAGGCUCAAGAAGCUGGAGGCAAGAAGGAGAGAGAAGAGGAUGAAAAUGAAGAACUGGAAGAAGGACUAGAAAAGGAUCCGGACUCAGCAGAGGACAGCACCUUCAAAAAAUCCAGCUUGGAGGCGGAGAAAGAAAUAGAUGGAGAAAUAAGAAAUUAAUUUCCUCUUCAUGGAUGUUCUAGUUUUCAGUAGCUCAAACAACUGGUUUUGUUAAAGUUCAUUACACAAAAAUGAUGUCAACUGAUAUCUGAUUUUACUCUUACAUUUUAUGUAUAUGUUUGACAGCAUUUGUUCAUGUUAAAA
rnacentral:lncRNA from 10 species